GAUGAACGCUGGCGGCGUGCCUAAUACAUGCAAGUCGAGCGAACGGACGAGAAGCUUGCUUCUCUGAUGUUAGCGGCGGACGGGUGAGUAACACGUGGAUAACCUACCUAUAAGACUGGGAUAACUUCGGGAAACCGGAGCUAAUACCGGAUGAUAUUUUGAACCGCAUGGUUCAAUAGUGAAAGACGGUCUUGCUGUCACUUAUAGAUGGAUCCGCGCUGCAUUAGCUAGUUGGUAAGGUAACGGCUUACCAAGGCAACGAUGCAUAGCCGACCUGAGAGGGUGAUCGGCCACACUGAAACUGAGACACGGGCCAGCCUCCUACGGAAGGCAGCAGUAGGGAAGCUUCCGCAAUGGGCGAAAGCCUGACGGAGCAACGCCGCGGGGGUGAUGAAGGUCUUCGGAUCGUAAAACUCUGUUAUUGGGGAAGAACAUAUGUGUAAGUAACUGUGCACAUCUUGAGGGUACCUAAUCAGAAGGCCACGGCUAACUACGU
rnacentral:rRNA from 1 species